rnacentral:rRNA from 1 species
AGAGUUUGAUCCUGGCUCAGAACGAACGCUGGCGGCGUGGCUAAGACAUGCAAGUCGAACGGGUUAUACAAUUGAGUAAUCGAGCGUAUAACUAGUGGCGAAAGGGUUAGUAAUGGAUAGGUAACGUACCUUGUACUUCAGGAUAGCGUCUAGGUGCUUCGGUAACUUUCCGAAAGGGGCAGUAAUACUGAAUAAUGUCAUGUGUUUAUAGACAUAUGACCAAAGAUUUAUCGGUAUGGGAGCGGCCUAUUUCCUAUCAGCUUGUUGGUGAGGUAAUGGCUCACCAAGGCAAUGACGGGUAGCGGGACUGAGAGGUCGGCCCGCAACAUCGGGACUGAGACACUGCCCGGACCUCCACGGAGGGCUGCAGUAACGAAUAUUGUGCAAUGGGCGAAAGCCUGACACAGCGACGCCGCGUGUAGGAGGGAGUCCCUCGGGAUGUAAACUACUGUCAGGGUAAAGAAAGUCUGUGUUUCGGCAGAUUGAUCUAACCCAGAGGAAGUCACGGCUAACUUCGUGCCAGCAGCCGCGGUAAGACGAAGGUGGCAAGCGUUGUUCGGUAUUACUGGGCUUAAGGCGUGUGUAGGCGGAUAAAUUAGCGUUUUGUGAAAUCCCUCGGCUUAACCGAGGAAUUGCUCGACGAACUGUUUAUCUUGAGGCAAGUAGAGGUGCACGGAACUCUUGGUGGAGCGGUGGAAUGCGUAGAUAUCAAGAGGAACGCCAGUGGUGAAGACGGUGCACUGGGCUUGUUCUGACGCUGAGACACGAAAGCGUGGGGAGCAAACAGGAUUAGAUACCCUGGUAGUCCACGCUGUAAACGAUGAAUGCUAGUCGUCGGAAAGCUCGUCUUUUCGGUGAUGCAGUUAACACAUUAAGCAUUCCGCCUGGGGAGUACGGUCGCAAGAUUAAGACUCAAAGGAAUAGACGGGGACCCGCACAAGUGGUGGAGCAUGUUGUUUAAUUCGAAGCAACGCGAAGAACCUUACCUAGCCUUGACAUGUGUAUCGUAUUCCGUAGAGAUGCAGGAGUGCCUUUCGAGGAACAUGAAAACAGGUGCGGCACGGCUGUCGUCAGCUCGUGUCGUGAGAUGUUGGGUUAAGUCCCGCAACGAGCGCAACCCUCGUCGUUAGUUGCUAACAGUUCGGCUGAGCACUCUAGCGAGACUGCCUUCGCAAGGAGGAGGAAGGUGAGGACGACGUCAAGUCAUCAUGGCCCUUAUGGCUUGGGCUACACACGUGCUACAAUGGGGCGUACAGAGAGUUGCGAUACCGCGAGGUGGAGCUAAUCUCAUAAAGCGUCUCUCAGUUCGGAUUGAUCUCUGCAACUCGAGAUCAUGAAGCUGGAAUCACUAGUAAUCGUAGAUCAGCAAUGCUACGGUGAAUACGUUCCCGGGUCUUGUACUCACCGCCCGUCACACCGUGGGAGUUGAUUUCACCCGAAAUCGGGAAGCAAACCUUCGGGAUGCUACCGCUUACGGUGGAAUUAGCGACUGGGGUGAAGUCGUAACAAGGUAACC